rnacentral:misc_RNA from 1 species
GCUUUUUCUUCUUCUCUUGUUUAAAACGAACAAGACUAAAGAGGCUGGCACAUUGUUUUCAUCGGAACUUUUACAAUAAAUACGCUCUACUCUAACUCUGCACCCUCUACUGAUCCAUUUACACACCUGGCAACUUUACUCCGUUCAAUGGCUACUCUCACCUUCAAUUCCGUCGCCGCCACCUCCAAAAUCCGAUCCUCCGUCGCCGCCGCAAACUCCUCCGUCCGUCGCCAGCUGUCACAUGUCCGCCUUCCGUCUUCUCCUAUUCAGCCAUCAUCUGUCUUGCAGUGCCGCUGGUCUUCUUCCGCCUCUUCAGGUGUGAGAGCUCAGGUGACAACCACUGAACAAGUUGGAGUUAAGGCUGCUGCAAAAGUUGAAGCUCCGGUUGUUAUUGUCACUGGAGCUUCUAGAGGAAUAGGGAAGGCAAUUGCGUUGGCUUUGGGAAAGGCUGGUUGUAAGGUCCUUGUGAACUAUGCCAGAUCUUCAAAGGAGGCAGAAGAAGUUUCCAAAGAGAUUGAAGCAUGUGGUGGCGAAGCCUUGGCUUUUGGAGGCGACGUUUCAAAAGAAGAAGAUGUAGAGUCCAUGAUGAAAACUGUGGUUGAUCGAUGGGGAACAGUUGAUAUCUUGAUCAAUAAUGCAGGUAUCACGCGUGAUACCUUGUUGAUGAGAAUGAAGAAGUCUCAGUGGCAGGAGGUUAUUGAUUUGAAUCUUACAGGAGUUUUUCUCUCCACACAGGCUGCAGCUAAAAUCAUGAUGAAAAAGAAAAAGGGAAGAAUCAUCAACAUAUCUUCUGUUGUUGGUUUAGUUGGCAAUGCCGGGCAAGCCAACUAUAGUGCUGCUAAAGCAGGAGUCAUUGGCUUAACCAAGAGUGUUGCAAAAGAAUAUGCCAGCAGGAAUAUUACUGUUAAUGCUAUUGCCCCUGGAUUUAUUGCAUCAGAUAUGACUGCCCAGCUAAGUGAAGACAUUGAAAAGAAACUUUUACAAAGUAUUCCGUUAGGACGCUAUGGUCAACCUGAAGAUGUUGCUGGACUAGUGGAAUUCCUAGCACUCAGUCCCGCAGCCAGCUAUAUUACUGGACAGGUUUUGACUAUCGAUGGUGGGAUGGUAAUGUAGAAGUUUACCCCAUAGUUUGCUCAUGAAGAAAGAUUGGAAGUGUGAUCACUUAUAUUAUACCUUGACUGUAGCCUUGCUUCGUCCAAUAUCUGCGUAAAAGGAACUUGAUAAUUUGGUGGUAGAAGAUGACCUUACUCAUCAUUUUUCUGCAUUUUCCCCUCUUCUUUUUCCGUUUUCUUAGAAGCAUUUUUGAACCAGGGUUUGAUCAUUUUGUUGUGGUUUCUAUGUUAAAGCUGAGUAAACACUAUUUGACGCACUUCCUUUGGUCAAAGCAUCCUCAUGUACUGCCAUGAAAGCUUGCUGCUCUUGGCUUAACCUCUGAGAACGGGAGAUUGAUUAAUCAAUGGCAUAAUUU